rnacentral:lncRNA from 1 species
CAGCCACCUACCUGUUAAAAAGUGGUCUGGUGGCUAAAUGGGGAAGGGAUGACUCUUCCUUGUGGGAAGAUGGCAUAUGUCUUCCGGAGAAAGUGAGUCACAUUCAGCACCGUGAAAUUGGUGCUCACUGGAGUAGUGGAUUAGGCCCGUGCAGCAGUGCCAUGCGUCCUGCAAGAGGGCUCUGCACCCCGCUCAGCUGACUGGGUUUCCAGUGCGCAGCCGGCUGCUACUUGCCAGCCGUGUGGCCUCUGGCGAUUUAUUUAUGCUCUCACUGCUGUGGACCACGACAGGGAAGGAUCAGACUAGGGUCCUAACUGCUUCACCUAAUACACUGGCGCAUCUCCAUGGGUUGUGAGGAUUAUCCCCUUGGACACUGAGAUUAAUGUCUUCCAUCCAUGAACAAAACUCUUUCUGCAGCAAGAAAUAUUGAAUAUGGGGUGAGUGAGACAACCCUAUAAUCGACACGUUUAUAUGAACAGUGAGUCUGUCUUGGGAAUUUGAGAAGUUAAUAUAUUUUUGCUUUAAGUGAUUACGGUUUCCCUAGGAGGAUAUUUACAUGUUUCCGUGGGCCGUGUGUCUCUUGCUGCAUCAGAUAGGUGCAAUCGUGUCUUUAAAAGUCGGAGCUAAUUCUCUUUGCUAGCUUCAGAAUAAAUGCUCACUCUCACAAGCCUUAACAUUAGAUAGAAAUUGACACUUGAAGAUAAAAUAGGCCUUUAAAAAGCUAUCAUUGUAUUUGGCUAGCAUCUGUUUGUCAUAUCCUAAAUAAACACGGGUACAUAAAAGAGUCAUCCAGUGAUGUGAAUCCUCAGGGCAGAGGGUUCCUGGACACAGUGAAGUCUUGAUGUGCAGCUACAUAAAGGCACUGGUUUUCCACUGCUUCCUGUCAAGCUCCCGUGGAGCCUCGGUGGGAGCCAGAUUACCGGCCACAUGGUGCAGCUGUGCCGACGGCCAGUCAGGGAAGUUAGAGGGUAACACAGGUGCACGCUGUCUGCAGAAGAGCCACACAUGUCCUCUGCUAUUUCUUCUGGUAGGAAGGCUCUAGACCAGGGAGAGCAACUUACCAUGAGACAUUGAGUCUGAUCGUGGAAAGAGAAAAUGUUGUGUAUUAAAAUAACGUGCUUUCAUUUAAUAUCAAGUUUUUAAAAACAUGAUUCUAGUUAAAUGUAGGAGUAGAAAAAAGAGGAAGUGUUCACUUUUUUAAUACACUGAUUUAGAAAUUUGAUAUCUUAUUUCAGUAGCUCUGAGGUGUUGAUAGCGUUAUUUCUGCUGACAGUGUUGAAGCAGGGUGACUAACUAGGGCAUAUUAUUUUUUUCCUAGUAAGCCAGCCAUUCAUGAUGUUUUCUUUGGAGUUUCUGGAUAAGUUCGAGAAAACAUUCUGCAUGUUAAAUCUAGUCUGAUGUACUUAUCCAUCUCAUUACAAACAAAAACAAGCAGACUACAUUUUGUGGCUCUGUAAUCCUCGAAUAUAGAAAUAAUCUUCUUUCCUGACUUUGACAUUGCAGCUCUGUUUUCAUUUUGAUUUUUACAAAUCCUUUGGGUCCAAUUCUGUGAGCCUACCUAUAGCACUGGAUUAAAUGUCUGCAUCAUUUUUUAGUUAUCCAGUUGACUUUAAAACUGUUGUAAAAGUGUAAACCAGCCCAUGAGUUUUUUGUACAUGUAAAGAACUUUAUUGUUCAGUUUUCAUGAUUAUUGUGCAAUGAAGACUGAUAUAGAUGUUCUAUGCUGUCCUUGACCAUGUUAAUUACACUUAUGAUGUAUUUUGGUUCCACAUCAUAAUGAUUUGUCCAUAAUAACCCUUUUGUCCUUUCUAGGCACAUUUUUUGUUGAUGUUGUUGUUGCAGUUUCCCUCUGCAUUGUAUUGCUUUCACAACUGAAAUUUGAAUCAGAUCUGAAAGAGGCCCAGAAUAAAAUAUAUUUCAUUAUUAUGUUGGGUGUGUACAUAGAUAAAACUUUUGAUAUCUAUGUAGUUUGUACAAAUUAUUUACUAGUUAAGAGCGAAGGAGGGUACUGUUUACAAUUUCUUGUUUACAUUUUAAUUGCUUUUAUUUCUCUAAUGUUCUGUAGAAUUGUAGAAUUGUAGAAUUGUUCUGAAAAAGAAAAUGAUGUGCUCUUCAUGCUUUCUUUUUCAGGGGGAGGAGGGAGGCCACUUGUGCACCAAAAGCUUUUUUUAACUCUGCUGUCAAACAAGUGGACAGUAUGAAAUAGUAACCUUUGAACCACAGCCUUGGCUGGCUCUUCCUUCUUAACAUGAUCAGACUCUGUUCCCUCUGAUUCAUUUCUAUGAUUGUAUUCACAGACAGACUUGUGUACUAAGACAUUAAAGACUCAAUCAUUCAUUCAGUAAAUAUUCGGUGCCUAUCUGUUCUCAUGUUAUAGGUUUAUUUCAAAUGCAAGGCUUUCUCGAGCCUGUAUUCUAAGGGAGACACAGAAUUAAUAAACAAGAGGGCCAGGUAGGCAGCUCAGUAGUAGAAUACUUGUGUGGCAUGCUCAAGGCCUUCGGUUCAGUCUCCAGCACUAUAAAAAAAAGUGAAAAAUGUGGAAUGUCAGAUGGCAAGAAGUGCAAUGGAGUAAAAUAAAGUCAGAAAGUACAAUAAGGUAUGCUGGGAUUAGGUGCUAUUUUAACUGGGGCAGUCAGAGAAAGCACCACUGAGUGGAUAAUAUUUGGGCAAUGAAUGAAUAGGAGAAGCAAGCAGUACAUCCACUGGAGGAAAAAUGAUGGUGGCAACAGAGGUGUUGAGCAGUGACAGGUUUUCUUGAGCUGUUUUGGAGGUGGAAAUGACAGGAUUUUUCCAGAUUGGAUGUGGGGUAUGAGUGAAAAACGAUGAGAUGACUCCAGAGUCUCUGGCUUCAACAGCUGAAGGGUGGUCUUGUCACUUCCUGGCAGGGAGAAGACUCAAAAGCAAGCUUGGAGAGGGCAGAAUUAGGAAUUCUAUUUCAGAGCUGGGAAGUCUGAGACACAUAUGCGACAUCCAGAUGUAGAAAUCAAGUGGGUAGUUGGUCAUUCAAGCCUGGAGGUCAAGGCAAGGCAUCGGUUCUGAGAUGGUUUUUUACGGCUGAGGCCAGAUGAGAGCAUGGGAUUUUCCACCAAUAUCCAUCUUCAUCUUAGAAAUUCUGCUUCAGUUGGAAUGUGGUGGGCUCCGUGCUUUGGGAUUGUUAAAAGCCUUCCCAGAUGAAUCAUAUUUGCACACAGAUUUAGUCCAUCUGACUGAGAACUGAGGAUGACUAAAGACAAGCAGAGAUCAUGCAACAGAGUGUGGAACACUAGCAUUUAGAGGUCACUUUUGAUGAGUUUCUCUGUGAAUGUGAGAAGACGGGACUUAGCUGGAUUGGGAAUUGCAAGUAAGAGCAAUUUGUUUUUAAAUGAGAAAAGUGGUGACACAUUUGUAUGCUCUCGGGUUUCGGGUUUUUGUUGCUGUUAUUUUUUGAGACAGAAUGGCCUCAAACUCACAGAGAUUCCCCUGCCUCAGCCUUUGCAGGAUUGCAGGUGUGCGCUACCACACUCAGCUAUAUGCUUGUGGAAGAAAGCCAAUGCAGGGAGAAAACGAUGUAGGAGAAAGGAAGAAUGGAUAAAAGGAUUGGAUUGGGUAGAGAAAGGAGGGCCAUGCUGUGGCUGAUUCUCCAGCUCAGACCCUGGCCGGUUGCCCCUGGUUACGGGAGGGAAGGCUUUAGAACACAGGCCAGUGCGGGGCAGGAUGGUGCUCACAUUGCGGGUGCUGGAGGGCACUGUCUAAAGACUACUCUGUCUCCUCAG